CCCGUCCUCCAUGAUACUCUGGAUCAGGACACACUACCUCUGUUAGUUAACCCCUAUCUUCUGGAUCAGGGCACACUACCUCUGUUAGUUAACCCCUAUCUUCUGGAUCAGGACACACUGCCUCUGUUAGUUAACCCCUAUCUUCUGGAUCAGGACACACUACCUCUGUUAGUUAACCCCUAUCUUCUGGAUCAGGGCACACUGCCUCUGUUAGUUAACCCCUAUCUUCUGGAUCAGGACACACUGCCUCUGUUAGUUAACCCCUAUCUUCUGGAUCAGGACACACUACCUCUGUUAGUUAACCCCUAUCUUCUGGAUCAGGACACACUACCUCUGUUAGUUAACCCCUAUCUUCUGGAUCAGGACACACUACCUCUGUUAGUUAACCCCUUUCUUCUGGAUCAGGACACACUACCUCUGUUAGUUAACCCCUAUCUUCUGGAUCAGGACACACUGCCUCUGUUAGUUAACCCCUAUCUUCUGGAUCAGUACACACUACCUCUGUUAGUUAACCCCUAUCUUCUGGAUCAGGGCACACUACCUCUGUUAGUUAACCCCUAUCUUCUGGAUCAGGACACACUACCUCUGUUAGUUAACCCCUAUCUUCUGGAUCAGGACACACUACCUCUGUUAGUUAACCCCUAUCUUCUGGAUCAGGGCACACUACCUCUGUUAGUUAACCCCUAUCUUCUGGAUCAGGACACACUACCUCUGUUAGUUAACCCCUAUCUUCUGGAUCAGGGCACACUACCUCUGUUAGUUAACCCCUAUCUUCUGGAUCAGGACACACUACCUCUGUUAGUUAACCCCUAUCUUCUGGAUCAGGGCACACUACCUCUGUUAGUUAACCCCUAUCUUCUGGAUCAGGACACACUACCUCUGUUAGUUAACCCCUAUCUUCUGGAUCAGGACACACUACCUCUGUUAGUUAACCCCUAUCUUCUGGAUCAGGGCACACUACCUCUGUUAGUUAACCCCUAUCUUCUGGAUCAGGACACACUGCCUCUGUUAGUUAACCCCUAUCUUCUGGAUCAGGACACACUACCUCUGUUAGUUAACCCCUAUCUUCUGGAUCAGGGCACACUACCUCUGUUAGUUAACCCCUAUCUUCUGGAUCAGGACACACUGCCUCUGUUAGUUAACCCCUAUCUUCUGGAUCAGGGCACACUACCUCUGUUAGUGCACCCCUAUCUUCUGGAUCAGGGCACACUACCUCUGUUAGUUAACCCCUAUCUUCUGGAUCAGGACACACUGCCUCUGUUAGUUAACCCCUAUCUUCUGGAUCAGGACACACUACCUCUGUUAGUUAACCCCUAUCUUCUGGAUCAGGGCACACUACCUCUGUUAGUUAACCCCUAUCUUCUGGAUCAGGACACACUGCCUCUGUUAGUUAACCCCUAUCUUCUGGAUCAGGACACACUACCUCUGUUAGUUAACCCCUAUCUUCUGGAUCAGGGCACACUACCUCUGUUAGUUAACCCCUAUCUUCUGGAUCAGGACAAACAACCUCUUACUCAACCCCUAUCUUCUGGAUCUUCUGGAUCACAGACACAGUACCUCCGUUAA
ensembl:lncRNA